AAUACCUGAUUCUACACUGUGUUUUCUUGUUCAGUUAGGCUCAGGUUAUUGUUCUGAAUCUUUGGAUGAACAGGAUGGUGGCGAGCGUGAGGAACCAAGUGAAGGGAUGCGCUUGCUGUAAGUCUGGAUGCAGGAAGCUUUACUGUGAGUGCCUUCAAGGUAAACGGAAUUACGUACGGAUGCGCUACUGUCCUUUGAUGCUUAUUUUGUGAUGAUCGUGUCGUGCAAAUCUUACGUUCGCUUUGUGAUUUGAAAAACAAAGUUGCGUGUACCGCGAGAUGCCAUUGCAGAGGGUGUGGCAGAAUGCAAAAGAUGUGACUGACACAGAUAUACAACGAUUUGAUGACAAUGGCGAUUCUAGUGGGACAUCUGGCUAUUCCAGUGGAACAAUAAUGGGACAGUACAAAUUGUAGACGACAAGAGGCAUUGGCCAACACAAUCAAUGAUGAUGGCCUUGAGAUCAGAAGGUUUCUCAAACAUAUUGGUGAUGGAGAUUACUUUCAGCAAAAUGGUCACCCCCUAAACAAACCACCUUCAAGAACAUAGGCAUAAUCAUAUCAUUGACAUGGCGGCGCUGAUCCUCAAGGUAUUGAUACUGAACGAAGAACAGCAAAAUGAACUGCUCACCACAAAGCAUGCACAGGAUGGUCUGACUCUGAAGAUUCUGUCCUAAGCACGUAAAUACUGAAGGUUAUUUUUUUUCCCCAACGGGGCCGUGUUCUUACAGUUGUCAAAAUGGGUUUGAAAUGAAUGGUCGUGCUCAUACAUAAAACACGGUUUCAUGUAAAGAAAUGCUCAUGUCCGUCUCAUCAGAAAUACUUUUGAAAUCUGACAGCAAUAUUCUCUGGGUUCUGAUUGCCUGUGUCGUUAGGUACGGUUCCCUGGUUCAUCAUCUCGCACUGAACAACACAACGGAAAGAUAAUUUACUGUAUGAAUUGAGUCCACGUCAAGGGCCUAAUUAACACAAGUCAGCGGCCAGAACGCAACUUGGAAUGAUGCAGAAAUAAAGAGAGAUAUUUGAGGCCAGCAUUGUGUCAAGAAGGAAUAAUGCCACCAGAAAAGACUCCAAAUCUUCCUGCCGGUUGCAAUUGCACGAUCACACCUGAAAAACUCGAGAGAAAAAACUUUGCUUCCGUACUCUCUUCCACUUAUUAAUCAUAUAUGUGAUUUUUAUUUUAUGUGUACAAUUUGUCCUCUUUUAUUCAGUUUAUGCACCUUGAGGCUAAUGAAAAAAAAAGGUUUUUUUGAAGGAAAAGGUAUUUAAAGGUGAAGUUUAGUGCAGAACCUAUCCUCUGAUCAACAUUUAAUAUAUAAUCCAGAACAAAGACAA